rnacentral:misc_RNA from 1 species
CCACCACCGUCGUGGUCGUCUCCACCACCGCCACCGCCGUCGUGGUCGCCGUCGGCGUCGCCGCCACCGUUGCCGUUGCCGUCGCUGUCGCUGUCACCUUCGCCGUCGCCGUCGUGGUCGUCGUCGUCGUCGUCGUUGUCGUAUCGCCGUCUCCGGUGUAGCCAUAUUCUCGUGUGUGUUCUUGUACCGGCCCUGUAGGAGUACGCGCGCGCGCGCACCCUUUUCAUUCGGUGGAGGGGUGGCGUCGAUCUUUUCCUCAUCGAUAAGAAGAGAAAAAGGAAGAUCGGCAGAAGUGGCAGGGAAUAACGAGGAGGGCGAGUCACGUGUGUCUUUCUCGUGGUGUGUCAUGGGGUGCUUUGGCAGCCAGAGCAGUAAGGCCAGUCAGGAUGAUUCGAAGAACCAGAAGAGACGCUCGGAUGCCAUUACCAGGCAACUACAGAAGGACAAGCAAGUCUAUCGAGCUACUCACAGGCUCCUCUUACUCGGAGCGGGAGAAUCUGGGAAAAGUACGAUCGUCAAACAGAUGAGGAUAUUGCAUGUCAACGGCUUCAGCGAAGCAGAAAAACGCCAGAAAAUCGAGGACAUAAAAAAGAACAUCAGAGAUGCGAUAUUGACGAUAACCAGUGCUAUGAGCACGUUAGCACCGCCCGUGACGUUAGAGGAUCCUGCAAAUCAGAGCAGCGUCGACUAUAUCCUGAACGUCUCGUCUUCCCCGGAUUUUGAUUAUCCCGCGGAGUUCUACGAAAUCGUCGAAACGCUGUGGAAUGAUCGAGGCGUUCAGCAAAGUUUCGAGAGGAGUAACGAGUACCAACUCAUCGACUGCGCCAAAUAUUUUCUAGACAAAGUAGCUAUUGUAAAACAACCGGACUACACGCCAACGGAACAGGAUAUCUUGAGGUGUCGAGUUCUUACGUCCGGUAUCUUCGAAACCCGGUUUCAGGUGGACAAAGUAAACUUUCACAUGUUCGACGUUGGUGGACAACGCGACGAAAGGAGAAAAUGGAUACAAUGUUUCAAUGACGUAACGGCGAUCAUAUUUGUAACAGCAUGUAGUAGUUAUAAUAUGGUACUCAGGGAAGACCCGACGAAAUUAAGGCUCCGGGAAAGUCUCGAUCUCUUCAAAAGUAUUUGGAACAAUCGAUGGCUCCGCACAAUUUCCGUGAUUUUAUUUUUGAAUAAACAGGAUCUAUUGGCAGAGAAGAUAAGAGCGGGAAAACAUAAAUUGGAGGAUUAUUUUCCUGACUUUUCUCGUUACCAGACGCCGGUCGAACCCGGCGUAGUCACAGAUCCCUCGGAACCUCCCGACGUCUUAAGGGCCAAGUACUUCAUCAGAGAUGAAUUUCUCCGUAUAAGCACAGCCAGCGGAGAUGGUAAACAUUAUUGCUAUCCACACUUCACCUGCGCCGUUGACACAGAAAAUAUCAAGAGAGUGUUCAACGAUUGUCGGGACAUCAUUCAGCGGAUGCACUUACGUCAAUACGAGCUCUUGUGACUUCAUUCCUGCCGACAUGUUGUCCGGUUGAGCUUUCGUCUCACCGUUAUGCUCCUGCUGUCACCGCUGCACCAACUACGCGAGCCCUUCUCGAGCCCUUUUCGAGCCAUAUGAGAGAAGAAAAACGAGAGAUGUGGCCGCAAAGUCUCCUAUCGUUAAGGAUAUAUCCUCGUGCCGCUAAAUAAUAUAGCGCGAACCGUAUCGGUAAAACGCACGAGUAAAAAAAUGACCUCGUCAUCGUUCGACCUCGUCGUCGUCGCCCGACCUCGUCGCACGCGACUAAGUAUACACACGCAACACACAACACGUCGAGAGAAGAAGGAAGAAUAAAACCCUCUCGUCGAAUUCGAGGAGAGUGUGCUGAAUGGCUGAGCGGCCGCCCUUACAACCGGCCGCUGAGAACUCGUGCAAUUCUAAUUAUUACCUCGUUAAUUUUAUUCAUAUUACGCAUCAAUUCGUUGAUAAGAGCAAAGAGAAGAUAAGCGAGGAUCGUGAUAUAUAUACAUAUAUAUACAUACAUAUAUAUAUAUAUAUCUCAUAGAUUAUUAAUGUUUAUUACAAACUGCAUACGUCGUCUUGUGCAAAACGUAUGUUCUUCGUUAAAUACACUCUUUUUAUUUAAACGUCGCGGCUCGGCUUAGAUGGUAAGAACAUUUCUUAAGACUUUGGCCGUUUCUCUCUUACACCCCUAUUCCUCCCCUCAUUCUCUUAGGAUAUAUAUCCUUUUUUUUAUGUAGAAAUGGAAAUCAAUCGAAUCCCUAAAAUCGUCGUCGAAAUCUUAUCUCCGUUUCGAAUUUCUGCUUCUUACUCUUGUUUUUUCGUUUACUCGUCGUUGUUGUUGCUUCUUAAGAUUUUAUCGAAAUCUCUCCCUGUAUCCCCGGCUAUUCGUUUUCUACUUCCGAAUCUCGACUUUUGAUCGCAUCGGUCCAACCCAUAGGAGUCUCAUCCACACCUUUUUACGAGAAAAGUAUUUUGUGAAAUUUUACAGUAUUUCGAAGAGUGUUUUAAUUAUAUGUAUAAACUAUGUAUCGAAUAUGUACAGGGUGACCGUCCAUGAAUUCAUCUUUUUUAUCUAUGUUUCCUACGAUACAAGGAUUCCUCGUUAUAUGUCAUUUUUUACUAAUUUCCGUCAGAUCGUUUGAUAACGUGUAUCUAGAUGCAUAACGAUACUAAUAUAACUAUUAUGCGUGUAUUCGAAUUAAUAGAAAAACUGCACCGUCUUUAAGUUUCUUGUUAUACUAGUAUCAUAUUCUGAAUUUAGAAUGGGAGUACAUUUAAUGGCGAGAGAAAAAAAAAUAGGAAAAAUGUUCGUUUUAAAUCUAACUGUCGAGAGAGAAUAUGUUCGUUACCGUCCGGCGUAGCUUUUUCAAAAUAAGUUUUUUUUUCGUUUACGCGUUUAUUUGCCUUCUUUCUUUUUAUUAACUUUGAAAGGGUAGAAUAGUUCGAGCCAAGUAUUCUCUCAUGAAACGCGACGAGAUUCGUGAUUUUCUUUUUAACAUUUGGAACACCCUGUGUAUAUGGAAAGAAAUGAGCCUACUUUUCCCCCUGAUUUUGACUACAUAUCUUUAUUAUUUUUUUUUUAAAUAUCCUGUUGAAAAAUUACAUACACCUAAGGGUCUCUGUGCUAUUACAAAGAUAAUGAGCGACAUGAAAACCAUCAUACAUAAAGCAGUGACUUGACACGUUUAUAAGUGUCGUUCUUAUUUCUUACGCAUAAAGAUAAACGGCUGACACUGAAAACAUGGAAAUAAUCCUCCAAGUGCUUUUCUUCUUUUUUUCUUUUUUUACGUUUCUUUGUGAAUUUUCAGACACAAUGCGAUAGUAGUCUGUAUUCUAUGUUUUACUUUACAAAACAAACUUUAUCUCCGGUAUUUGUAGAAAAAGUUUCUUUUAUAUAAUAACAGUUGAUUCAUUUAUAAUCUCUUCGAGUGUUGUAGAACAUUCUUCUUUUUAGCGUAAAAUCACUAUGACUGUAUCGAACAUUCAUUUUAAUCAAUUAACCUUAGUCCUUUAUUAUGCAGUAAAGUGGAAAUAACAAAAGUAUAAACUUCUUGAGCAUAGUGUGUAAGAGAUUCGUCAAAGUAUUUGUUAAAUUUCCUUUUGAAAUUCCUUCGCUUGCCUCUGAACGAUCGUUCCAAGAUUUUGUUUAGACUCGCGACUAAAAGAAUAGAGAAGAGAAAGAAAUAAAAAAAAAAAGGAAGGGAAAGGAAAGGAAAGGAAGAUAAAUUCUACUGUCGAACUGACGUAGUUCGUAGUACAAAAUAGAAUUUGUCGAUUAAUGAUAAAAACGUUAAAACGGAUACCCUGUACAUGUAUACUUGCCCACAUACAUAUAUACAUACAUCUGCAUUAAAUGUAUUUUUGUGUAUCGAUAUUGAUGGGUGCGCUCAUACAUGUAUGUGUACCUAUCAUACUAAAUACAUUAAGAAACACAACUCAUAGUCCGUACUUUUAUUUAUAUCUCUACGAAGCAUUAUUUUUAUUAUAUUCGUUAAGGUGGAUGACGAUAAAAAAAAGUGCAAGAGAGUGCGCGAGUGCUUUAUUGAAGAGAAUAAGAGAGAAGAGUUUGUUUUAAAAAAGUACAUAUUCUCCAUGAACUUCCAUCACAUCUAAACAAACAAAUCUGUAUUUUACGUAUGCUUUGUUAGUAGCAUUGUCACGACACUAUUACAUAGUUAAUUGUUUAUAGACGUUGAAGAAAAAUCUUCUCUCUCCUCUGUUUUUUUAAAUAAGAGGCUAAGUAACGUCUGUACGUAAAGUAAUCGAAUGCGAAAAAGAACGUGUAUAAGUUUGUCUUUCAUUAAGACGGGACUCUCUCUCUCUUUCUCUCUCUUUCUCUCUCUCUCUUUCUCUCUCGCUCUCUUAAAUGUUUUUCAAAGAAAAAGAAGAAAAAAGCAUGUAUCGUUUAACAAACUUGCGAUCGUACGAGAAGAGACAUUAAACACAUACACCUCUCUCUCUCUUUCUCUCUCUCUCUCUUUCUAUCUCUCUAUCUCUCUAUUGUUAAAUGUAAUCAUUGAUAGAAAAUUAGUACGUAUGUUAGAGAGAAAAAUAAAAGGAAAAGAAAAAGAGAGAAAACGGAAGAACUACGAAAAGUGUGUAGUUGCACGUUAAUCAAUCGUCUGGGCUACCCAAUCGCAACGCUAUAACACAAAAAGAUACUUGAUAUUGCUUUAAAAGCUAAUAA